rnacentral:pre_miRNA from 1 species
UGGGCCUUAUAGGUUCAGUUGAUCAUUUUUAAAGCUACUGGCCUGUUAAGUCCCAAG